rnacentral:lncRNA from 1 species
CCAACUGACGUCUAUAGACAUUGGCUACCUCACUAAUCUGACGUCAAAGAGACUUUUCACCUGUCUUUUUUAGGCCAUUUAGACGUCGGAUGCAAGGGGAGUUGACAAUCUGACGUCUAAAGUGCUGAACGAAGUGACUUUUCAGUAAUUGGUCAGUCCAGUAAACAACGGGGACUUGGGGGCGCCGACGUCUAUGAACUUAUUGACGUCGGUCCUGAACAAAGGGACAUCUGUUUACUUGCGGGGUACGUGAAACACACUAAUUGCAGCUAUACAGACGUCAACUGACUGACUAAACCGACAUCCAAGAAACUAUUCAACUGCCUUUUCAGGCCAUUUAGACGUCGAACGUCGGGUCGCUGACAUCCAAAAUGCUGAACGAAGUGACUUUUCAAUAACCGGUCAGUCCAGUAGACGUCGGUCCUGUACCAAGUGACGUAAGUGUCUACGAGGUAGGUGAAUCACAUUAAUUGCAGCAAGAUAAAUGUCUGGCCCCCCGUAUAUACAGUAGAAAUACACUGACUUCUCACCUACAUGUCAGGCACAUGGACGUCUGUUUAGGGUGAAACUGACGUCUAUACUAUUAUAGACGUCAGGCGAACCACAAACUGACGUCUAUAUAACCAACUUAUUUAGUAAAAUGCCACCGGUCAGUCAUAUAUGUCUCGUCACAUCAUAAACAACGUAUAAGGGGUGACAACGAUUUUGCACCAGUGGCACUUGCGAAUCUGUAAACUAAAAUUCAAUUCUUUGGUGAGAUUUUUGUGUUACAAAACGAGAAAUGCAACAUGUUACAGGGUUUAGAUGAUAAAAAGAAUUACAUUAUUAGAAAAGAAUCAUAUAGUUUGAUUCAUAUGACG